GAUGAACGCUAGCUACAGGCUUAACACAUGCAAGUCGAGGGGUAACGAGAGGAAAGCUUGCUCUCCUUGUCGACGACCGGCGCACGGGUGAGUAACGCGUAUCCAACCUGCCCCCAACUAGGGAAUAACCUUGCGAAAGUAAGACUAAUACCCUAUAAUUUCCUCAGAUGUCAUCUGACGAGGAAUAAAGAUUUAUCGGUUGUGGAUGGGGAUGCGUCUGAUUAGCUUGUUGGCGGGGUAACGGCCCACCAAGGCAACGACCAGUAGGGGUUCUGAGAGGAAGGUCCCCCACAUGGGAACUGAGACACUGUCCAAACUCCUACGGGAGGCAGCAGUGAGGAAUAUUGUUCAAUGGGCGGAAGCCUGAACCAGCCAAGUAGCGUGCAGGAUGACGGCCCUAUGGGUUGUAAACUGCUUUUAUACAGGAAUAAAGUUAGCCACGUGUGGUUAUUUGUAGGUACUGUAUGAAUAAGGACCGGCUAAUUCCGUGCCAGCCGCCGCGGUAA
rnacentral:rRNA from 1 species